GUAAUACUCCCUCCGUCCGAAAAUACUUGUCAUCAAAAUGAAUAAAAGGGAAUGUAUCUAGAUGUAUUUUAGUUCUAGAUACAUCUUUUUUUGUCCAUUUUGAUGACAAGUAUUUUCGGACGGAGGGAGUAUCUC
rnacentral:pre_miRNA from 1 species